rnacentral:rRNA from 1 species
AAGAAAGUAGAAAAGGGCGCAUGGCGGAUGCCUAGGCUCUCAGAGGCGAAGAAGGACGUGAUAAGCUGCGAAAAGUCACGGGGAAGUGCAAAUAACUAAUGAUCCGUGA